rnacentral:rRNA from 1 species
GUGUGAAGUAACUCCAACAGUUAAUGCAUCGGAUCCCAUUAGAACUCCACAGUUAAGCGUGCUGGGGCUAUAGUAGUAAUGGGAUGGGUGACCUCUCAUAAAGUCCUAGUGUUUUACAUG